GAGGUUAUAGCUCAAUUGGUAGAGUGCAUGUGUUAACAUGCAUGAGGUCCUGGGUUCAAUCCCCAGUACCUCCA
rnacentral:tRNA from 1 species